rnacentral:rRNA from 1 species
UUAAGCGACUAAGCGUACACGGUGGAUGCCCUGGCAGUCAGAGGCGAUGAAGGACGUGCUAAUCUGCGAAAAGCGUCGGUAAGGUGAUAUGAACCGUUAUAGCCGGCGAUGUCCGAAUGGGGAAACCCAGUGUGAUUCGUCACACUAUCGUUAACUGAAUACAUAGGUUAACGAGGCGAACCGGGGGAACUGAAACAUCUAAGUACCCCGAGGAAAAGAAAUCAACCGAGAUUCCCCCAGUAGCGGCGAGCGAACGGGGAGCAGCCCAGAGUCUGAAUCAGCUUGUGUGUUAGUGGAACGGUCUGGAAAGUCCGACGGUACAGGGUGAUAGUCCCGUACACCAAAAUGCACAGGUUGUGAACUCGAAGAGUAGGGCGGGACACGUGGUAUCCUGUCUGAAUAUGGGGGGACCAUCCUCCAAGGCUAAAUACUCCUGACUGACCGAUAGUGAACCAGUACCGUGAGGGAAAGGCGAAAAGAACCCCGGCGAGGGGAGUGAAAAAGAACCUGAAACCGUGUACGUACAAGCAGUGGGAGCACCUUCGGGUGUGACUGCGUACCUUUUGUAUAAUGGGUCAGCGACUUAUAUUCUGUAGCAAGGUUAACCGUAUAGGGGAGCCGCAGGGAAACCGAGUCUUAACUGGGCGUUAAGUUGCAGGGUAUAGACCCGAAACCCGGUGAUCUAGCCAUGGGCAGGUUGAAGGUUGGGUAACACUAACUGGAGGACCGAACCGACUAAUGUUGAAAAAUUAGCGGAUGACUUGUGGCUGGGGGUGAAAGGCCAAUCAAACCGGGAGAUAGCUGGUUCUCCCCGAAAGCUAUUUAGGUAGCGCCUCGUGAAUUCAUCUUCGGGGGUAGAGCACUGUUUCGGCUAGGGGGUCAUCCCGACUUACCAACCCGAUGCAAACUACGAAUACCGAAGAAUGUUAUCACGGGAGACACACGGCGGGUGCUAACGUCCGUCGUGAAGAGGGAAACAACCCAGACCGCCAGCUAAGGUCCCAAAGUCACAGUUAAGUGGGAAACGAUGUGGGAAGGCACAGACAGCCAGGAUGUUGGCUUAGAAGCAGCCAUCAUUUAAAGAAAGCGUAAUAGCUCACUGGUCGAGUCGGCCUGCGCGGAAGAUGUAACGGGGCUAAACUGUGCACCGAAGCUGCGGCAGCGACACUAUGUGUUGUUGGGUAGGGGAGCGUUCUGUAAGCCUGCGAAGGUGGCCUGUGAGGGUUGCUGGAGGUAUCAGAAGUGCGAAUGCUGACAUAAGUAACGAUAAUGCGGGUGAAAAGCCCGCACGCCGGAAGACCAAGGGUUCCUGUCCAACGUUAAUCGGGGCAGGGUGAGUCGACCCCUAAGGCGAGGCCGAAAGGCGUAGUCGAUGGGAAACAGGUUAAUAUUCCUGUACUUGGUGUUACUGCGAAGGGGGGACGGAGAAGGCUAUGUUAGCCGGGCGACGGUUGUCCCGGUUUAAGCAUGUAGGCGGAGGUUCCAGGUAAAUCCGGUACCUUUUUAACGCUGAGGUGUGAUGACGAGGCACUACGGUGCUGAAGUAACAAAUGCCCUGCUUCCAGGAAAAGCCUCUAAGCAUCAGGUAACAUUAAAUCGUACCCCAAACCGACACAGGUGGUCAGGUAGAGAAUACCAAGGCGCUUGAGAGAACUCGGGUGAAGGAACUAGGCAAAAUGGUGCCGUAACUUCGGGAGAAGGCACGCUGAUAUGUAGGUGAAGCCCCUGCGGGUGGAGCUGAAAUCAGUCGAAGAUACCAGCUGGCUGCAACUGUUUAUUAAAAACACAGCACUGUGCAAACACGAAAGUGGACGUAUACGGUGUGACGCCUGCCCGGUGCCGGAAGGUUAAUUGAUGGGGUUAUCCGUAAGGAGAAGCUCUUGAUCGAAGCCCCGGUAAACGGCGGCCGUAACUAUAACGGUCCUAAGGUAGCGAAAUUCCUUGUCGGGUAAGUUCCGACCUGCACGAAUGGCGUAAUGAUGGCCAGGCUGUCUCCACCCGAGACUCAGUGAAAUUGAACUCGCUGUGAAGAUGCAGUGUACCCGCGGCAAGACGGAAAGACCCCGUGAACCUUUACUAUAGCUUGACACUGAACAUUGAGCCUUGAUGUGUAGGAUAGGUGGGAGGCUUUGAAGCGUGGACGCCAGUCUGCGUGGAGCCAACCUUGAAAUACCACCCUUUAAUGUUUGAUGUUCUAACGUUGGCCCCUUAUCGGGGUUGCGGACAGUGUCUGGUGGGUAGUUUGACUGGGGCGGUCUCCUCCCAAAGAGUAACGGAGGAGCACGAAGGUUAGCUAAUCCUGGUCGGACAUCAGGAGGUUAGUGCAAUGGCAUAAGCUAGCUUGACUGCGAGCGUGACGGCGCGAGCAGGUGCGAAAGCAGGUCAUAGUGAUCCGGUGGUUCUGAAUGGAAGGGCCAUCGCUCAACGGAUAAAAGGUACUCCGGGGAUAACAGGCUGAUACCGCCCAAGAGUUCAUAUCGACGGCGGUGUUUGGCACCUCGAUGUCGGCUCAUCACAUCCUGGGGCUGAAGUAGGUCCCAAGGGUAUGGCUGUUCGCCAUUUAAAGUGGUACGCGAGCUGGGUUUAGAACGUCGUGAGACAGUUCGGUCCCUAUCUGCCGUGGGCGCUGGAGAAUUGAGGGGGGCUGCUCCUAGUACGAGAGGACCGGAGUGGACGCAUCACUGGUGUUCGGGUUGUCAUGCCAAUGGCAUUGCCCGGUAGCUAAAUGCGGAAGAGAUAAGUGCUGAAAGCAUCUAAGCACGAAACUUGCCCCGAGAUGAGUUCUCCCUGACUCCUUGAGAGUCCUGAAGGAACGUUAAAGACGAUGACGUUGAUAGGUCGGGUGUGUAAGCGUAGCGAUACGUUGAGCUAACCGAUACUAAUGAACCGUGAGGCUUAACCUU